rnacentral:rRNA from 1 species
UACGUAGGGUGCAAGCGUUGUCCGGAAUUAUUGGGCGUAAAGAGCUCGUAGGCGGUCUGUCGCGUCUGCUGUGAAAACUCAGGGCUUAACCCUGAGCUUGCAGUGGGUACGGGCAGACUAGAGUGCGGUAGGGGAGACUGGAAUUCCGUGGUGUAGCGGUGAAAUGCGCGAGAUAUCAGGAGGAACACCGGUGGCGAAGGCGGGUCUCUGGGACGGUA